rnacentral:tRNA from 1 species
GCUCUUGUGGCGGAAUCGGUAGACGUGUUAGUUUUAGGUGCUAAUGCCUUUUGGCGUAUGGGUUCAAAUCCCUUCAAGAGCA